rnacentral:rRNA from 1 species
UACAGAGGGUGCGAGCGUUGUCCGGAAUCACUGGGCGUAAAGGGCGCGUAGGCGGCCUUCUAAGUCGAACGUGAAAUCCCCGGGCUCAACCCGGGAACUGCGUCCGAUACUGGAAGGCUUGAAUCCGGGAGAGGGAUGCGGAAUUCCAGGUGUAGCGGUGAAAUGCGUAGAUAUCUGGAGGAACACCGGUGGCGAAGGCGGCAUCCUGGACCGGUAUUGACGCUGAGGCGCGAAAGCCAGGGGAGCAAACGGG